CCUGAAUCUCUCUCUCUCUCUCUUUCUUUCAUCUUUUUUUUUUUGUUUUCUUAUUUCCAAAUAUGUUCGGGUGGGGCCUAGUUAUCGAACUACACGCGCGUACAGCUUAUGAAGCCAUUAACUCGUCAGAGAUCUCCGAAAUUUCUGUAUCUGAAACCGAAACCAGUUUAGCCAAUCCUUCCACGGUUAACAGUCUCGCGUUUUCUGUUAACGUUCUUCUUUUCGUCACACUAACCAAAUUACCACUCGCACAGAGAACACCUUUCGAACUUCAAAUCCGAUUUCUGCCCUCCAAACCAACCAAUUCUCUUUCUUUAAAGAAAAAAAAGGGGGAAAAAUAAAAUCAAAAUUCUCGUCCCGCUUAUUUACGAUUUAUAAUUUUUAACGUCGGCAGAGACCACUAACAAUCCUGAGAUUCUUUCUUCUUCUUCUUCUUCUUCUUUUUUCCUUCUAUUCUCUACAAACAUGGAC
rnacentral:lncRNA from 1 species